rnacentral:rRNA from 1 species
AUUGAACGCUGGCGGCAGGCCUAACACAUGCAAGUCGAGCGGAAGAAGGGUGCUUGCUCCUGGAUUCAGCGGCGGACGGGCGGGUGAGGCCUAGGUAUCUGCCUGGUUGCUGGGGAUAACGUCCGGAAACGGGCGCUAAUACCGCAUCAGUCCUUAGGGCGAAAGUGGGGGAGCAUCGGACCUCACGCUAUCAGGUGAGCCGAGGUCGGAUUAGCGAGUUGGUGGGGUAAAGGCCUACCAAGGCGACGAUCCGUAGCUGGUCUGAGAGGAUGAUCAGCCACACUGGAACUGAGACACGGUCCAGACUCCUACGGGAGGCAGCAGUGGGGAAUAUUGGACAAUGGGCGAAAGCCUGAUCCAGCCAUGCCGCGUGUGUGAAGAAGGUCUUCGGAUUGUAAAGCACUUUUAGUUGGGAAGAAGAGCAGUAAGUUAAUACCUUGCUGUUUUGACGGUACCAAAAGAAUAAGCACCGGCUAACUUCGUG